rnacentral:lncRNA from 10 species
ACAGUUUAGCUGAUCCAGUGUACUGUAAAGUCUGUUUCACUCCACCAGCCAACAAGGAGCAGGCGGCCGUGGUUUUCUCAUGUUCUGGGGGAAGCUGUUUGUCAGUGUUAACCUGGCUAACUUUGGACAGCUGCAACAACAACAUCUAUCCCUUGGCAUAUGGUGUGUUUAGAUGCUAAACACUGCCUCAUCUCUUACCUAAAGUUAACAUCUGAUGACAUGAUCGCAACUCCAUAUCCUGAGUUGAUUUCAACCUAUGAUGUUGGAAUUUUCCACAUGGAGAUAAACACUGGGAAGCAGCUAAUCAUUCUCUCUGGAUUUAUAAGGAACAAAUGGAUAAGUGAAACUUGAAAACAAUGGCCAAAGUACUAAGAACUAAUGUUUCUUCAACAAAACAAAUACUUUUACUUUAAGAACAGAAGAUAAAAGGCCAAAGUUGUAAUAUAAGACAAAUUACGGAAAUAUACACUUAUACAUAUAAAACCACUCCUCUUUUUAAAAAAUCAUGCUUUUUAAGAAGAAUCUUCUCAUAUCAGUGAGAAAGAAAGUUAUCUUAACAAACAAAAAGUAUUUUGAAAAAAAGCGUUCACAUGUAUAAGAAAGAAAAUGAACAAAUAAAUAGGAAAAAAGAUCUCUGGUUCAACCAUAUCAAAGCUUCUUCAUGUUUGUUAUUUUACUCUAAAGGACACCUCCCUGAUCUUGAACUGAUAAUACAGUUAAAAGAAUUAACAGAAAGAGAGAGGGAUAGAAAUGGUCACGUACAGAAUGAAAAAUAAAGGAAAUUUUUUUCUUAUUAUUUUCCUAAUUUGUCUUAAUUCAAAUGAGCAGAAUAGAGUGCUCCAAAUCAGAACUGUGACUCACUAGAACUAAUAUAUUUUGUCAACAUAUUUAUAAUUGAACAUAUCAGUAAUCUUUCAUUUGAACAAUUAAUUGUGUCAGUAAUCAUUUAUCUGCAUAAUAGUUAUAAUUAAUUUGUUACAUUUAUUUAAUUAUUCAUAAUUUAUUACAAAAUGCAACAUCAAGAAUCAUCUAAUAACAAAACUUAUUUGACAGUGUUUGAUAAAUAUGUUUAUGAAUGUCCCACUGAGAUAUGUUAAAAACCACAUUGAUAGCAAAAUUACUUUAAAAUACAUGCUUUAUCAUUAUGGCAA